AAAACCAUAAAUAUUUUGAUGAUGUUGCUGCUGUUGAUGAAAAUGUUGGAAAAAUCUAAAAAUUGUAGUGUUCUAAAUUCUCUAAAAAAAAUCUGGCUUUUUUUUCUUGUUUUAUACAUAUAUUGCAAUGAAGAUAAGCUAUAUUCUUGUAAACCGAUUCAUCAGUUACUUAAUUAGCAGAGAUAGCAGCUCAAGCUAAACCCCGCCCACUUCUUUACAUCAUCAGACAUGCUUCAGUGCUCUGAGAGUGUUUAUAGUGCUGUGAGUUUAACACUUCAUGACUGAGAGCAGAACACAACACAAUCUUCAUCAUCACACAAGACUCAACUACUACAAUGAACAACAUCCUCAUCCUCAUCUGGACCGUUGCUUUUAUUCAAGAAUCCAGAGGAGUCACUCUGACUCAACCUAAAGUUAAAACUGUCCAGCUCGGUCAAACAGCUACAAUAGAGUGUAACAUAGAUGUAGGAAUAUACAGCAGCUACUUAGCCUGGUAUCAGCAGAAACCUGGAGAAGCUCCUAAACUCCUCAUUUAUUACAUAAACAGCCUCCAGUCAGGAACUCCAUCUAGAUUCAGUGGAAGUGGAACAGCAUACACUGGAAAAGAUUUCUCUCUGACCAUCAGAGGAGUCCAGACUGAAGAUACAGGAGAUUAUUACUGUCAGAGUUAUCAUAGUGGUGGUGUGUUCACACAGUGAUAAAGAGUCGUACAAAAAGCUGUGAGUCAGAGUCACAGUGACUGCACUGAUACAGCUGAGAGAUACUGCAGCUGAUGAUAAGGUUAUUAUUUCUCAUAACAGUCUCUUUCACUCAAUAAUAUUAAAGUUUAUGAGUCUUUCUGGGUCUUGUGUUUUCAACAUUACAAUAAACAUUGUAAUAGUUAUUAUUGUAAUGCGUUUAAUUCUAU